GGCUCUGGAAGGUCUGGGUGUGAGAUUAGGGCAGAUCUUUACUCGUUCAUCUCCCAACCAGCUCCGGCAGACACCCGAGGCCGUGGGACCGGAAUGCUCUGACCUGAAUGCAGCCAGGCACUGUCCCUCCAAGGCUGGUCCUCGCCUCCCUCUGCCACUUUGCUUUGCUCCAUUUCAGCUGUGCAUCCUUAAGUGAUUCAGGGGCUCCGGGCCAAAGGGCUCUUUGCCCCGCUGGGCUGAUCCUGAAGAGAAACGGUGAUGUGCCAAGAGGUCUGGGAGGCGAAUGUCAUUUCAUCACUGUUCUCCCGGGAGAGUAAUGUCCAUAGCCAGACAUAUGCUCAUGGCCUGGAAUAAAGUCGACUGCAAUUACAUCCUGAGGGAGUCACUCAACGGGGGUUUUGUGGAGGCAGGACGCAGGCUCUGGUGGAGCUGCACAUGUGCUGUUAGACCUCCAACUGCACUCGCUCUGCCUUCAGCUUUGUGUGAGCGAGGAGCAGCAGGCUCAGAAAUACAGCCAGUCUGGUGCACAUCUGGAGGCAGUAAUUGGAGUGCUGUCUCUGUGCUAGAUGAGCGCCUGUGGGGAGUUCAGGGAGUGCAGGUCUGGGCCGUGUAUCACCCUGUCACCAGGACCAAGCUGGGAGAGUGGAUACAGAGACAUGAGCUUUCAAUACCUGCAAAUUUCCAUCUGGUUUGUUAGCAGCACUCCUCAUUAAAGGGAUUAUGAAAAGUUGGAGAUGCUACAGUGUUUCAGACUCAUUUGACUGUGGUGGCUGAGCUGAGCCACUUCUCACUUGCCCUCCUGAAGGUGACCAGAGGACAAGGCUGUGUGAUGGGGCUGGUGACAACUCGGUUUCAUCCUCUGCUGCAGCAGCCUGGCUGAGGUAAAGGUCUUUGCUCGUGGUUGUUAUUGGUUCCAUAUUUGCUUGGGAUCUUUGCAUGCAGAGGAUGGCUUUUGGCUUGCGAAGAGGAACUUCUCGGAGGCUGGACCGUUUCCCCUCACGCUCCUGAGUCUCUCCAAGAUUGCAUGUACUGCUCAGAAAGGCUGCUAAGGGCAAGGUGCUUUUCUGCAUUUAACAGAACAUUCUGAAAGCUCAUUAAUAAAGGCCAGAUAAAAUAAAGCUUGGAAAGUCAACAUGUUCAAGAAGAUAUGCCGUUCUGGGAAACAAGUGGAGAGGAGGUGUGUAUUUAUGUGGA